GACGAACGCUGGCGGCGUGCUUAACACAUGCAAGUCGAACGGAAAGGCCCUGCUUUUGUGGGGUGCUCGAGUGGCGAACGGGCGAGUAACACGUGAGUAACCUGCCCUUGACUUUGGGAUAACUUCAGGAAACUGGGGCUAAUACCGGAUAGGAGCUCCUGCUGCAUGGUGGGGGUUGGAAAGUUUCGGCGGUUGGGGAUGGACUCGCGGCUUAUCAGCUUGUUGGUGGGGUAGUGGCUUACCAAGGCUUUGACGGGUAGCCGGCCUGAGAGGGUGACCGGCCACAUUGGGACUGAGAUACGGCCCAGACUCCUACGGGAUGCAGCAGUGGGGAAUAUUGCACAAUGGGCGGAAGCCUGAUGCAGCAACGCCGCGUGCGGGAUGACGGCCUUCGGGUUGUAAACCGCUUUCGCCUGUGACGAAGCGUGAGUGACGGUAAUGGGUAAAGAAGCACCGGCUAACUACGUG
rnacentral:rRNA from 1 species